UUUUUUUACAUAUAUAUAAUUUUUACUGAAAAUAGAUUAAGAAGAUAUUUGCUCAAUAAUCGGCAGAUUCAAUUUUUGAUUGUCUUGCUUCUUUUUCUUUUCCUAAUAUUUUUAAAGUAAAGCGAGAGAGAAAAAUAGAUUUUCGGUCCUAAAUUAAAGCUAACAUAUCAUCUUUUCAUAUUACUAUUAUUAAAGCUUCUAUAACUGUUACCGCAAGAAAAAAAUUUUCUUAUUAUAUAUCGAACGUGUUCCGAGAGUCACAGCAAGGAAAUAUUUUGACGUUAACCAACUGGCUAUGGUUGGUAUACAUAUAGGCAAGGCCCCUCAAUUAGUAUAUGCUUUAUGUAUCAUAAAAUAAAUGGUGCGCGCGUAAUGCGCGCUUGUGAUGUUCUAGUAUAUUAUAAAGAUGGAAAAGAAUUUCGUUUUUAUUGCUUGCAUGGUGUUAUUUUGAGAUGAAGUCCGUUUGCAUUGAUAAGUACCAAUUCGGAUAUGAAGCGCAGUUGGUCUUCCGUGUCGAGACUUCCACGCUGAAAGUUCUUAAUAUGGACAAGUAUAUAGUCGAGCCGAAUCUACCCGAAGGAAACCGAAGGAGAGCCGAGCUGAACAAGUCUAUGUAUUUUAUAUGCUAUGGCAAGAAAUAUUAUAUGACAUAACCGCAAUGUCACACACGAUUAGAUAUCCUGAUAUCGAAUAGAGAACUUUAGAUGAUCAUUUGACACAGUGUUUAUUUGUGUUUUCUUGUUAGAUAAUAAUAAAAUAAAAAAAUGAAUAAAGAGACAGAGCGCAAUUUUGGCUAUCCCCACUUUCUCUUGUAGGUCGCGAGGAAGAGAGAGAAUGAGGACAAAACUGUUUACCGUUUUGUAUUUAAGUACUUUGGACAUUUGUUGGAAAUUAGUAACGGAUAAGUGUUAUGCGAAAAUCGUUUAUUGACAAUUAAUUUUGGACAUAUAUGACAAUCUUGGCGUAACACGAUUUUAAUAAGAGAAAUUUUUGUUGUAAAAUAUAUUGUGAGCAAUAAUGUUGGAAUUUCUUGUUGAAAUCAUGAAUUCUCGCAUCAAACAAAUAGAUAUAUCUGAAAAAGAAAGAGAAAAAGAAGCAAAUACAAGCGAGGAUGUUGAAAGUAUGAAUGUUGAUGCAUCAUUCUUAGAAAUUUUAAAUUUAUCGUUUGAAAUAAAACAUGAAAAAGAUCAAAUUUCCAAAAAGAUGAAGAAAAAGAUCAGUGCGAUAGAAGUCAAGAUGAAUAAUUUAUUUCAAAAUGUAACUACUUCGACAGAAAUUGAAUUUGAUAAUAUUAUAGCUCUUGCGGUAGCUUAUAGUAAUUUAGGUUACAUAUAUGUUUUCAAACAAGAAAAUUUUCAUGUUGGUAAAGAUCAUCUUGUGAAAUGUAUGGAAUUGUUGAAGGGAAAAGAAUUGCACCGUAAAGCUAUUUUGAUAGCUAUCGAAGUACUUAUCGAACUAAGUGAAGUUUGGAAAAUAUUAUCGCAGUAUGAAAAUUGUUAUCCAUUGUUAGAUAAAGCAAUGGAACUAUAUAUAAAUUAUACAAAGGAAGAGGAUGAAUAUCCACAUCCUAUCAAUGUAAAAAACAUUAUUGUUUGUGGUAAAGAUAAAACAGAAAACUCCAAAAUUUUGCUGGUUAACCUUCAUAUCUUAACUUUAGGUAACAUAGAAGAGCUGUAUCGUGUUGUACCUAGAGAUAAGCAUAAAUUUGUAAUAUACAUUCAUAAUUUAUUGACUGAACAAGUGACUAAAAGAGAAGUCCCAACAGAAAACAAAAUCUCUUUGUCUUGGGCUAAAACUUCAGCUGAUUUAUGUACUUACUUUUUAUUUAAUGAUCGCUUUAUGGAAGCCAAAGUUCAUCUUGUUGCUGCAAAUUAUAUGAUACAGACAUAUUUUUCAUUAGUGGUAAUGGAUGAGGAUUCUACAGAAUUUUCUGAAAAUCGUGAUAAUUAUAACAAAACACUUGCACAUAUCUGUAAACUCUGGGGAAUAUUUGGUAUUAAGCUUUUAAGUUCAUCAAAAAAACGAUUACUACAGUAUAAAAAUGAUCAAUCUUAUGAGGCAAAUAACAUAAAGUCAGAAUCUCUUGCAAAAUCUGAGGAGCAAUUAAUGAUACCCCUACUAUUUAUUGAUUUAGAAAACGAAUUAAAAAACUUUAUUACGCCAUAUGAUACAGAUACAUAUAUCUCAAGUCUAAAUGAGGCCAAAAUAGUUUUUAUGAAUAUUUUAAAAUUGCUUGAUACAUCAAAAGUACAUAAAUAUAUAAAAUUAUUUCUCUCCAUAAUCAACGUGAAGUCAGCUCGUGACGUCAUUCCGCAGUAGGUAAUGAAACGUCGCGAACAUGGAAUGCAUCGAUUCUAAAUCGCGAUGCAUUUAAUUGAUGAGAGUGACAAUAUUAGAAUAAGAGAGGAAAAGGAGGCUCGGGACAGCAUCGGGAGGCGGCAGAGGAACCAUAAGAUUUAACGUUGUAUAUCAUGCUGUGUAAUUUUGCCGCUGCACAUUACAUCGAUUAUUUUUGUGCGAGACUCUUCAGGAUAGUUCGAUAAUCAUCGCUGCAGCAACAGUUGGCGAUCAAUCGGUGCUCCCUACAACUAUUGGCG